UAGAGGCGCUGAGACAUUCCAUCCGAUCCAUGCACGGGAAAGGAUGGACAGAGGAACACGAAAGCCACUGUUGGAGCCGAUCCGGGCACUUGAAAAACAACACGACCGGUUGGUCUGGGGAAGUAGGGGUGGUGCUCCUCCAGCCAGUCCAGGUAGUCCAGCAGCUCCGGCCCUGAAAAAAAAAACUGGAAAAGGCAUGGUGAAAAAACCCUUAUAGAAAUGAGUGAAGAAAUGUGUGAGAAUAAGCGAGAA